UACAGAGGCCUCAAGCGUUGUUCGGAUUCAUUGGGCGUAAAGGGUGCGUAGGCGGUUUUGUAAGUCGAAUGUGAAAUCUCGGGGCUUAACUCCGAAACUGCAUUCGAUACUGCAGAACUUGAGGACUGUAGAGGAGAAUGGAAUUCACGGUGUAGCAGUGAAAUGCGUAGAUAUCGUGAGGAAGACCAGUGGCGAAGGCGAUUCUCUGGGCAGUUCCUGACGCUGAGGCACGAAGGCUAGGGGAGCAAACGGG
rnacentral:rRNA from 1 species